UGCCACUGGACACAAUUUACCUUCUCAACCAAACAAACUAACAGAGGGAAAGAGAGAGAGAGAGAAACAACAAACCAGACUAGCACAGGAGGGACAUCUGCAAGUGCAUUAGUUUGGAAGAGAUAUCGUUCCCGCGAGGCACCGAAAACGGGAUGAUUAGCAUAUCCCGGCGAUGACCGCGCCGCUCGGUGCUUCUCUGCGGGACUGAAAGAAAGAAGGGACGAGAGAGGGAGGGUUGGAAGGGAGGGAACGAGGGAUGUAGGGGAGGCUCCAUCUCUCUAAUCUAGCUGAUGAAGAUCCCUCACUCCGGAGAUCUGACAGGGGUCGCACUCUCUCCAAUCACGCGCGCGCGCCACGGACCGCAGAGCCGCGAGCCAGUCAGCAAAGCGCUCGGUCUUUUUCUGUCCGUCCAGCUCACUCACUGUCACUCUCUCACGCACUCUCUCUCUCUCUCUUCAUAAAACCGCAGGGACGUUCACUUCAUCUCUCUCUCUCUCUCUCUUUCCCGCGCGCGCGCUCUCGCUCAACCGCGUUUUUUUCUUUCCUCACUAACGGCACGCGCAUCUGUCUUCGGUUCUGUACAGUACAGGAUGAACAAGAACGAGAGACUCCUCAGAAAGAGAGAGAGUAGAUGAGAAAACACGGAACUAAUAUAAACAAAGGUGAAACGAGGAGGUGAAGAGACUGAGGACGAGUUUGCCAUUUGGAUUUUACUGAUUUCGAACCGGCUUCCAUCUGUUUUGGCUCCGUGGACUCGCAGUUAAGGUGAUGAAUCUACUACCCGGCUGACUUGCUUCGUAUCUCCAGCGAGUGGAGUGGAAGAGCGCCAGACCCCAAACCUCCCUCGGUCUCUUCUGGAUUCGCGCUCCAGCUUGUGAGCAUCGGUGCCCUGGAUCUCUUGUCUCUCACCUCCCCUUUAUUCUCUGGACCUUGACGUGGGAACAGACCGUAACAGAUCGCCCAAUGCUGAGGAGGAACUGCCUGCUGCUGUUCCUGUGCUUCCUCUUUGAGCAGAGCUCCUGCACUCCCUUCCAGAGCAGGCCAGGCCAAGAGUGGCCCCACAGCCCAACGGGGCCAUCUGCGGCAGGGAGGAAUGGAGGUUCCAGAGGAUUCCAGAGGGUCAAGAGGGGCUGGGUGUGGAACCAGUUUUUUGUGCUGGAGGAGUACAUGGGCUCCGACCCGCAGUAUGUUGGAAAGCUGCACACUGACUUGGAUAAAGGCGACAGCGCAGUGAAAUACACUCUGUCGGGUGACGGAGCUGGAACAAUCUUCACCAUCGACCAGACCACCGGAGACAUUCAUGCAUUACGCAGUCUGGACCGCGAGGAGAAGCCGUACUACACACUGAGAGCACAAGCGGUCGACAUUGACACCAACCGGCCACUCGAACCUGAGUCUGAGUUUGUUAUCAAAGUGCAGGACAUCAAUGACAAUGAGCCAAAGUUCCUGGAAGGACCCUACACGGCUAGUGUACCUGAGAUGUCGCCUGUGGGUACGUAUGUGAUGAAGGUGACGGCAACAGACGCAGAUGACCCUACAUAUGGAAAUAGUGCCAGAGUCGUGUACAGCAUUUUGCAUGGCCAGCCGUAUUUCUCCGUGGACCCCAAAACAGGAGUGAUCCGGACAGCUCUUCCUAACAUGGACCGUGAGGUGAAGGAGCUCUAUCAGGUUCUCAUCCAGGCCAAAGACAUGGGCGGGCAGUUAGGGGGUCUGGCAGGGACCACCACCAUCAACAUUACUCUGAGUGACGUCAACGACAACCCACCAAGGUUUUCUAAAAGCAUCUUUCACCUGCGUGUACCGGAGUCAUCAGCAGUCGGCUCAGCGGUCGGCAGAAUCAAAGCUCAUGAUCUGGACAUUGGGAAGAACGCCGAGGUCGAAUACAACAUCGUCCCUGGAGAUGGAGGAGCCAUGUUUGAUAUCACCACCAACGAGCACAAUCAAGAGGGGAUCAUCAUGCUUAAAAAGCCAUUGGACUAUGAGACCAAAAAGGCAUACACAUUUAAAGUGGAGGCAUCGAACGCACACCUGGAUCCACGGUUCCACAGUUUUGGCCCAUUUAAAGACACCGCAACAGUGAAGAUUAACGUUCUGGAUGUGGAUGAGCCUCCCGUCUUCAGCAAACCCUCCUACGCGAUGGAUGUUUAUGAGGACACACCACAAGGCACCAUUAUAGGAGCCGUGACUGCACAGGAUCUCGACGCAGGAAACAGUCCAGUCAGGUACUCCAUAGACUGGAAGAGCGAUCUGGACAGUUUCUUCGACAUCGAUCCUGUGAGAGGAACCAUCUCCACCAAUGAGCUUCUGGACAGGGAGAGUAUAGCGCAGCACAACAUUUCAGUCGUGGCCACUAAAGUUAAUAACCCGGUGCUGACCAGUCGAGUGGCCGUCUCAGUUCAUGUGCUGGACAUUAAUGAGUUUCCUCCAGAGCUGGCUAUGCCGUAUGAGACCUUCGUGUGCGAGACUGCUAAAAUCGGCCAGGUGAUUCAGAUCAUCAGUGCAAAGGAUGAGGAUCUUCCCCAAGCUGGACAAAGAUUUUCCUUCAGAUCCCCUCAAGAAGGAGUGAAGACCAAAAACUUCACCAUCAGAGACUUCGGCAAUAACACAGCUGGAGUGGUGACUCUGCGCAGCGGCUUCAAGCGGCGUUCUCAGGAGAUCUACCAUCUUCCAAUAGUGAUAGAAGAUGGAGGCCUGCAGACAUUGAGCAGCACCAGCACCCUCACAAUCCGCGUGUGUGGCUGUGACACCGAUGGAUCUUUAUUAACCUGCAGCGCCGAAGCCAUUUUCCUCCCGGUAGGCCUCAGUACCGGAGCCCUGAUCGCUAUUCUGGUGUGCAUCAUCAUACUGCUGGUGAUCGUGGUGCUCUACGUGGGGGUUCGGCGACAAAAGAAGAAAGAGACCCUCAUGACAUCCAAAGAGGACAUCCGUGACAAUGUCAUCCAUUACGAUGAUGAAGGAGGAGGCGAAGAGGAUACGCACGCAUUCGACAUGGGCACCCUUCGCAACCCCAAAGUCAUCAAGGAAAACCUGUUUCGCCGAGACGUCAAGCCAGAGCUGGGAUUGUGUCCGCGUCGGCCAAUCGGCUCACAGAACAGCAACGACAUCAGCAACUUCAUCAGUCAGCGUCUGCAGGAGCAUGAUGGAGACACGUCCGCACCACCAUAUGAUUCGCUGGCCACUUACGCCUAUGAGGGUGAGGGUUCGGUGGCUGAAAGUUUGAGCUCUAUAGAGUCCGUAAAAGGGGAAACAGAAGAGGACUAUGAUUACCUCAACGAGUGGGGGCCUCGCUUCAAAACCCUCGCAGGGAUAUUCGGAGAACGAUCAGAGAGCCAAUCAGAUGUAACAUCCAGCUCCGCCACCGAAAACAAACACUGA
ensembl:lincRNA